UACGUAGGGCGCGAGCGUUGUCCGGAAUUAUUGGGCGUAAAGAGCUCGUAGGCGGCUUGUCACGUCGGGUGUGAAAGACCGGGGCUUAACUCCGGUUCUGCAUUCGAUACGGGCUAGCUAGAGUGUGGUAGGGGAGAUCGGAAUUCCUGGUGUAGCGGUGAAAUGCGCAGAUAUCAGGAGGAACACCAGUGGCGAAGGCGGCUCACUGGUCCGGUACUGACGCUGAGGUGCGAAAGCGUGGGGAGCAAACAGG
rnacentral:rRNA from 1 species